rnacentral:misc_RNA from 1 species
GAUGAAGAACGCAGCGAAAUGCGAUAAGUAAUGUGAAUUGCAGAAUUCCGUGAAUCAUCGAAUCUUUGAACGCAUAUUGCGCCCUCUGGUAUUCCGGGGGGCAUGCCUGUCCGAGCGUCAUUAUCACCACUCAAGCCCGGCUUGCUGUUGGUGGCAGCGCAGCCGGUCAACCGGCUACGCUCCACCCAAAGAUAAUGACGGCGUCUGCGAGGACUCCUGUACAUUGAGCUUUCGGGCACGUACAUGGCUAGAAGUCCAGGCGCCGGUCGACGUCCUCCGGGACACUUUUUACCAAGGUUGACCUCGGAUCAGGUAGGGAUACCCGCUGAACUUAAGCAUAUCAAUAAGCGGAGGA